UACGAAGGGGGCUAGCGUUGCUCGGAAUCACUGGGCGUAAAGCGCACGUAGGCGGCUUUCUAAGUCAGGGGUGAAAUCCUGGAGCUCAACUCCAGAACUGCCUUUGAUACUGGAGAGCUUGAGUCCGGAAGAGGUGAGUGGAACUCCGAGUGUAGAGGUGAAAUUCGUAGAUAUUCGGUGGAACACCAGUGGCGAAGGCGACUCGCUGGACUGAUACUGACGCUGAGGUGCGAAAGCGUGGGGAGCGAAAGGG
rnacentral:rRNA from 1 species